CAAAAUAAAGGCUUUUGAGAGAGAGAGAGAGAGAGCCAAUAGAAACACGAGACGACUAAAUAAAUACUUAGCAUUAGCAGCACGGAAAGGGUGCAAGAGAAACCGUAGUUACGAGAGAGAGAGAGAGAUUUGACAAAUUUACGUCAAAGGGAAGAAGAAGGGUUAAGUCGGAGUAUUGCGGUUGCGGCGGCGGCGGAGGGUUUAGGGUUUUCACGAGCCACCAUUCUUACGAGAGCGACCCUUACCGGAAUCAUCGUCUUCUUCAACGAAUGUGACCCAUUCUCUCUAUAAUCAAACCCUAAAACCCCUUUUUCUCCCCCAUUCCCAGAAGAAUAAGAGAAGCUCCAAUGGGGACGAGGAGUGAGAAGAUGCCGUCCACGAACAGGGAGUGGCAGAGCAACCACUACUACUGCUACGGGUAUGGAGAGUACAUAGAGAAGAGACAGCUGUUCCUGAGGAGCUACCAGUUCUCGAGGAAGAGGAGCUUGUCGGAGAGGAUCCACAGAUCUGUGAGGAGAGUUAAGAAAGUUGUCUGGUUACGUCUGAGAUCUGCUCGUAGGCUCAGACGCGUCGUCUGGUACCGUCUCCGGUCGGCUUUCUUUCACCGCCGGCGACGCUUCUUCUUCCGUCUCCGACACGAACCCUCCUACUGCUUCUAACUCUCCUCUUCGCUUCCCCUCUUCCCCCAUUUCUCUGGCUGAAUCCGAAUAUCAAGUUUAAGGAGUUUGGUAAGAAGAUGAACACGAGAAAUGGUCAAAAGGGAGGGUUUCCCAUGGAGUCAUGCAAGAAACGUGAAUAUGCAUUCAUAUUCUUCACACGCGCGAACACACGUAAAGGGAGUGGUCGGUCAAAAGUCAAAACCAAGGGUGGUGGUCAAACCGGAUUUGAUUCGGUUGAGUUUGGAUUUCGGUUAACCAAAUCAAAUAUGGAUUCAGUUUGUAAAUUCAUUGUAUAAUAAAAAAAAAA